UGGGCAACCUGCCCCUCUCUCUGGGAUAACCCCGGGGAAACCGGAGCUAAUACCGGAUACUCCGGCUGGAUCGCAUGGUCCGGCCGGGAAAGGUCCGCCGGAGAGGGAUGGGCCCGCGGCCUAUCAGCUUGUUGGUGAGGUAAUGGCUCACCAAGGCGACGACGGGUAGCCGGCCUGAGAGGGCGAUCGGCCACACUGGGACUGAGACACGGCCCAGACUCCUACGGGAGGCA
rnacentral:rRNA from 1 species